rnacentral:lncRNA from 1 species
CCUGCCAGGGCUUCCGGGUCUCGUCCGGGAGCUAAAGACCAGGGCCGCCGCCUGCGGGGCAAAGGAGCCAGCAAGGCCCGCGUGAGCUCUGGGGUCUUUCCGGGUGCACCCCAACCCAGACACCUCACCCCACGGGGCACCCGAGUCGGGGAUCCUGAGCAGGGGACAAGGGACUGCCACCUCCCGACCGGCCGGCAUGGGCGAGCUUCGAGCAACUGAAGGAAGCCGGGAUCCCCCCGGACCCCACGACUGCGCCCCUCCCCUGGACCAAGACCCCUGCUGGCCUGGGCGGGGCCCCGAGACCCGACGCAGGGGUCAGAGCUGGGUCAGGGGCCUUUUCCUCCCGCGCGCGGCCGUGCGACCCUCCCAACGUGGCCUCCUCUCGCCCUGGAGUCAGCAGCUCAGCGCAGCCCAGGGGGGCGAGGCGUGCUCCCGCGGCGAGGUCCUGAGCCGCCCCAGGGAAGGUGGAAAAGGAGGCGUCGCGGGUGGGUUGACCCCGGUUUGGGUUCCUCUCAUCGCGCUCCCUGCUGGAUCGCCUAGCCCCCGACCUUCCAGCUGCCUGGAGCUGCAGCGGCCGCAGACACCCGACGCACAGCAGACCGGGGCCUCGCGGCACAGCCCAGGCCACACGAAGUGGACCCACCAACUCAACGCUCUGGUUCUCGGGGUGCGGCCUGUCUAUGACCCGGGCGGUCCCCCAUAAGUUAACUUGGAAAUCAUGUAGAACUCCAACUAGCGAGUAGGGAGGGGUGUGGGGAGACCGCCCGGCUAGCUCAGUCGGUAGAGCAUGAGACUCUUAAUCUCAGGGUCGUGGGUUCGAGCCCCACGUUGGGCGUAACUUUUGUCGGGGAGAAGCUAACGCCGACUGCACCUUAAAUACUCCUUCCAGAUGUCGGCUUGUUCACCGCAUUUAAUUCCCGUUCCAGACGCGAAAUUAGCUGCCACGUCGGGGAAGACAGACAUAUACGUUACCGCAGGCUCCAAAAUCUCUCUUGGGCCACGAAGCACAUUUUUUUUUUUUUUUUAAACCAAGGAUUGAACUCAGGAGUGCUUAACCACUGAGCCACAUCGCCAGACCUUUUUUUGUAUUAUUUUUAGAGACAGGGUCUUGAUGAGUUUCUUACGUCCUCGGUAAAUUGCUGAGGCUGGCUUUGAAUUUGGGAUCCUCCUGCCUCAGCCUCCCCAGCCAGGGGGGCAUUGCAGGCCUGCGCCACUGCGCCCUGCUUGGGCCGCACAUUCUUGUCUCAUGAUUUUUCAUAUAUUUUAAAGCUGAAAUUCACAUAAAUUUCUACAUAUACACAACUACAAUGCACCAAUUUAAAAAAAAAAAAAAGUGUGGAAAUAGAAGAAAGAAAAAAAAUCUCCAGGUACACAGAGCUAUCAGGAGGACCCUGUCAGUGUUGUAGUACUUGCCCCGACAGGGACUCUGCUUUUAGGGACUUCUUUGAAAGUUCUGUUAUCCCAGCAGUGGUUAACAGGCCAAAUCAAGAAGUAAAGCCAGUUGGGAGCCAUCUAGAGUUCUGUUACUUACAAGGUUGAGCCUCAACUGUAGAAUAUCAUGUUCAGAGAUCCAGGGCCUUGUUAAAUAUCUUGCAGCUACAGGGUUGAUAUUGUUUUUUAAAAAAUCAAACACACAUUUAAAUUCUCAUGUUGCAUAAUGACAAAGAAAAUUGAAUUUGCAACUUCAGGAGCUGUUUUGUGUGAAAGGUAUGGCAUUAGUUAGGAAAGUGCAGGGCCAAAUGCUUGGGGACAUCAGG